CCCGCCAUGGAGGGCUUGAAGGUGCUGCCAACGGCUCUCUCGGCGUCUCGACGUUCUGGUCAGCAGCUUUUUCCCGUUCUCUCCCUCCACUUCUUGAGUGAGCAGCCCCGAGUUGGACUGUGCCUGUUGUGUGGGUCAGCCAGAGAGUGAGCUCGGCGGGAGCGAAUUUUCUGUGCCUGGGGAUGGCCCUGUGUCCCUGUCAGGCGGCGUGCAUGCUGCUCAAGGGCGCCUGCCUCUUCACCCCCGUGAGCAAGAUGGCGACUGUGAAGAGUGAGCUUAUUGAGCGCCUCACUUCGAGGAGCCGUGUCAUCACAGUAAGGUCUCCAUCAUAGGAACUGGAUCAGUGGGCAUGGCCUGCGCUAGCAGCAUUUUAUUAAAAGGCUUGAGUGAUGAACUUGCCUUUGUGGAUCUUGAUGAAGGCAAACUGAAAGGUGAGACAAUGGAUCUUCAAUAUUUAGCCCUUUCAUGAAACUGCCAAACAUUGUUUGUAGCAAAGAUUACCUUGUCAUGACGAACCCCAACCUAGUGAUUAUUACAGCAGGUGCACGCCAAGAAAAGGGAGAAAUGCGCCUUCAUUUAGUCUAGCGAAAUGUGACCAUCUUAAAGUUAAUGAUUUCCAGUAUUGUCCAGCACAGCCUCCUCUGCAAACUGAUUAUUGUUUCCAAUCCAGUGGAUAUCUUAACUUACGAAGCCUGGAAGUUGAGUGCAUUUCCCAAAAACCGUGUUGUUGGAAGCGGCUGUAAUCUGGAUACUGCUCGUUUUCUAUUCUUGAUUGGACAAAAACUUCGUAUCCACUCUGAAAGCUGCCAUGGAUGGAUCCUGGGAGAGCAUGGAGACUCAAGUGUUCCUGUGUGGAGUGGAGUGAACAUAGCUGGUGUCCUUUUGAGGGAUUAAUCUCUGAUAUAGGAACUGAUAAAAAAUCCUGAGCAGUAGAAAAAUGUCCACGAAGAAGUGAUUGCUAGUGCCUAUGAGAUUAUUAAAGUGAAAAGUUCUACUUCUUGGGCCAUUGGCCUGUCUGUAGCUGAUUUAACAGAAAGUAUUUUGAAGAAUAUUAGAAGAACACAUACAGUUUCCACCAUAAUUAAGGGCCUCUGUGGAAUAAAUGAAAAAAUAUUCCUCAGUAUUCCUUCCUUGGAGAGAAGGGUAUUACCAGCCUUAUAAAGAUAAAGCUGACCCCUGAAGAGGAGGCCCAUAUGAAAAACAGCGCAAAAACACGUUGGGAAAUUCAGAAGGAGCUUGAGCCUUAAAGUUGUCUAAAACUACUAUUCCGAAAUUAUUGAAGAGAUCAUAGGUACAGGAUUAUAUAUCAAAAUUUUGAAUAAACUUGAAUUCCUAAAAGAUGGAAACAGGAAAGUGGGUAGAGUGACUUUCCUGUUUAUUUAGUCUUCCAGCUCUUUUAUUUAGCAUCCAGGUGCUGGAUGAUACUUAUUUACAAUUCCCAAAGACAGUGAUUUUGGUACCACUGAUGUAGCAGCACUUACCUUGUUAUAUAUAUGUAGUUGCCAUUUGGUUCCCAGAAAGUAGGAUGUAGGUAUUUAUUCUGUUCUAGAAAUUCUGAUUCUUUUCUUUAGAUAUAUGCUAGUUCUUCUUGCUGGUUUAUCUGUGUUCAUUUGUAUGCUAUAAAAAAUUGGUAAUUUCCUCUACAAUGUAAAAAGUGUGUACAUACA